UACGAAGGGGGCUAGCGUUGCUCGGAAUCACUGGGCGUAAAGCGCACGUAGGCGGCUUUUUAAGUCAGGGGUGAAAUCCUGGAGCUCAACUCCAGAACUGCCUUUGAUACUGAGAAGCUUGAGUCCGGGAGAGGUGAGUGGAACUGCGAGUGUAGAGGUGAAAUUCGUAGAUAUUCGCAGGAACACCAGUGGCGAAGGCGGCUCACUGGCCCGGUACUGACGCUGAGGUGCGAAAGCGUGGGGAGCAAACAGG
rnacentral:rRNA from 1 species